AUUCUAGCACCCCAACGCCUACCUCAGCCCCCAACUCUAAAUAACUUCUUUCCACCUUGCUAAGAAUGCAAUGUUGUGAUUCACAUCAAGCUUUAGGAGGCUCCCCAUAUGUAGGGAACUGGGGUGAGGGGCAGGGCAGGAUUCACUGUUCCAGGUUACGGAGCUUUGGUUAACACGGAGAGAAGCUACACAUAGACUCACACAGUAUGCAAAUACCUAUGGAGAUACAUAAGGAAAGGCCCCGGCCUGGUUAAGGAAAAGGAGCCGAUAAAACCUCUCCAGUAUGCAUUCUUAGAAACCAGAUAUACAAAGACAAGAUCUCUGCUUUCAAGAAGCUCUCAAUCUGAUUGAGGAGAGAAACAGGUAGCAAAUAAUGACAGCAGAGCAUGGUCAUUCAACAUUUAUUCAACCAAAAAUACUAAGUCAGCUCUAUACAAACUAAUGGAAGGAUACAGCUAUGCAAAUACAGAAGAACACUAAACUGUUACAUGACAGAUGUAUGAGCAGAACUGGGAAGAAAGGACCCUGAAAAGUUAGCUUGUUCCAAGUGACCCUCCAAGGUAUGGAGAUGCUUUGGGGAGCUGGUGAGGGAGGCACAGAGCAGACUGGGGAGUCCACAGAGGGGCCAAGGUGUCCCAGUGGGGCUUAUUAGAACCUGCCUGAAGGGAGGGUCUCCUAAGACACAAACCACCACUGUAGAUCGUGUAUUGGAAUUAUUCUCUAAUCUUUAUUCUGAAAGGGGAAGAGUGCUGGAUUCAGAGCCCACCUCAGGGGAAGACAGGACGCUCUCCAAGAUGGUUUCCCUAGAAGCUACUACCUCUCCCUGGAGGGUGGAGAUAUUUGCUGGUCAAAGCAAGAA
rnacentral:antisense_RNA from 1 species